GAUGAACGCUGGCGGCGUGCCUUAUACAUGCAAGUCGAGCGAACGGACGAGAAGCUUGCCUCUCUGAUGUUAGCGGCGGACGUGUUAGUAACACGUGGAUAACCUACCUAUAAGACUGGGAUAGCUUGGUGAAACCGGAGCUAAUACCGGAUAAUACUUUGAACCGCAUGGUUCAAAAGUGAAUUACGGUCUUGCUGUCACUUAUAGAUGGAGCCGCGCUGCAUUAGCUAGUUGGUAAGGUAAAGGCUUACCAAGGCAACGAUGCAUAGCCGACCUGAGAGGGUGAUCAGCCACACUGGAACUGAGACACGGUCCAGACUCCUACGGGAGGCAGCAGUAGGGAAUCUUCCGCAAUGGGCGAAAGCCUGACGGAGCAACGCCGCGUGAGUGAUGAAGGUCUUCGAAUCGUAAAACUCUGUUAUUAGGGAAGAACAUAUGUGUAAGUAACUGUGCACAUCUUGACGGUACCUAAUCAGAAAGCAACGGCUAACUACGUG
rnacentral:rRNA from 1 species